ensembl:snRNA U4 U4 spliceosomal RNA
AGCUUUGUGCAGUGGCAGUAUCGUAGCCAAUGAGGUUUAUCCAAGGCGUGAUUAUUGCUAAUUGAAAACUUUCCCAAAAUCCAUGUAGAGUAUUUUCAUAAUUCAUAUUUCCCAUGAACUUUUUAAAGAUCCUUCAUAUUUUUCCAUUAUUUUAAAUAGAU